GGGGGGGUCUGGGUGUCCCCUACCAGGGAAAUUUUGAGCAUCAACGGCUUCAUUUCCUGUUUUCGGACACCCUUUUAUGCACCAAUUUACGGUGGAAAUACCUUUAUUUAGGCUAUGCG